GGAGUUGUGGCUCAGUGGUAGAGCGCUCACCUCGCACAUGGGAGACCCUGGGUUUGAUCCUCAGUACCA
rnacentral:tRNA from 1 species